rnacentral:rRNA from 1 species
AUUGAACGCUGGCGGCAUGCCUUACACAUGCAAGUCGAACGGCAGCACGGGAGCAAUCCUGGUGGCGAGUGGCGAACGGGUGAGUAAUAUAUCGGAACGUGCCCGGUCGUGGGGAUAACGUAGCGAAAGCUACGCUAAUACCGCAUACGAUCUACGGAUGAAAGCGGGGGAUCGCAAGACCUCGCGCGAUUGGAGCGGCCGAUAUCAGAUUAGGUAGUUGGUGAGGUAAAGGCUCACCAAGCCGACGAUCUGUAGCUGGUCUGAGAGGACGACCAGCCACACUGGGACUGAGACACGGCCCAGACUCCUACGGGAGGCAGCAGUGGGGAAUUUUGGACAAUGGGCGCAAGCCUGAUCCAGCAAUGCCGCGUGCAGGAUGAAGGCCUCGGUUGG